rnacentral:rRNA from 1 species
CGAACGCUGGCGGCGUGCUUAACACAUGCACGUCGAACGGAAAGGCCCUGCUUGCAGGGUACUCGAGUGGCGAACGGGUGAGUAACACGUGGGCGAUCUGCCCUGCACUUCGGGAUAAGCCUGGGAAACUGGGUCUAAUACCGGAUAGGAGCCAUUUUUAGUGUGAUGGUUGGAAAGUUUUUUCGGUGUAGGAUGAGCUCGCGGCCUAUCAGCUUGUUGGUGGGGUAAUGGCCUACCAAGGCGGCGACGGGUAGCCGGCCUGAGAGGGUGGACGGCCACAUUGGGACUGAGAUACGGCCCAGACUCCUACGGGAGGCAGCAGUGGGGAAUAUUGCACAAUGGGCGCAAGCCUGAUGCAGCGACGCCGCGUGGGGGAUGACGGCCUUCGGGUUGUAAACUCCUUUCGCUAGGGACGAAGCUUUUUGUGACGGUACCUAGAGAAGAAGCACCGGCUAACUACGUG